GGGUGCCCUAGCCUGGUAGGGGGCAGGCCUGCUAAGUCUGUGGCCCGUAUGGGCCGCACGGGUUCAAAUCCCGUCCCCGGCGCCA
rnacentral:tRNA from 1 species